rnacentral:rRNA from 1 species
UACGAAGGGGGCUAGCGUUGCUCGGAAUCACUGGGCGUAAAGCGCACGUAGGCGGAUCUUUAAGUCAGGGGUGAAAUCCCGGAGCUCAACUCCGGAACUGCCUUUGAUACUGAGGAUCUUGAGUUCGGGAGAGGUGAGUGGAACUGCGAGUGUAGAGGUGAAAUUCGUAGAUAUUCGCAAGAACACCAGUGGCGAAGGCGGCUCACUGGCCCGAUACUGACGCUGAGGUGCGAAAGCGUGGG